rnacentral:lncRNA from 1 species
ACGUUGGGUGUCUUCUAGAGUAUUCAUGAACCCUCUCGUGCUGUUUCCCGUGGCGGAUACGUUUCUAUGUUUGAUUUGCAUUAGAGUCAAGUGAGACGAGAAGUAAAAAUGGACAAGUGUCCGAUAGUAGAAUUAGGGGUACAAGAUACCCACCUGAGAGGAAAGAAAAAGAAAAAAGAAGAGCAUCUCAUUCUCCUUAUAAAGUUUCAAAAAGCAAGAAAGGUAUGUAUCCCCUCAAAGAGCAAAAGUAGAAUUAGACUCUCACCAUUGUUAUCACCAUCAUCACCAUACACCAUUCAUUCGCCACACAUGCACAUCUUGAUUUGGCUUAUUGAUUUGUUUCUUUGGAUCCAUGGUUUGACUAUACAAUAAAUGUCUUGUAAGUAUGUAUACUUUAUCCCCCACCUAUGAGCUCUAGAUAUUAAAGCCUUAUUAGAGUAGGGUGAGAGAGAGGGCAAUAUGCUUUAUACCAUAAAUACCAUAUAUAUUGAGAGAAGGCAUAUACCAUCACUGCCUUGGUAAGGAUCCAGAAAUACCACAAAAGAGAGAUCUGAGAGAGUCAUACAAGGAAUCUCUGAGUUUUAUUUGAAAAUCUGCAAAAACUUC